GGAGGUGGAGGAGGAGGUGGAGGAGGAGGUGGAGGAGGAGAUGGAGGAGGAGGAGUCGAGAUCUUCGAGGACUCACAUCAUGGCGCCAGCGUGACGGGCCCGCCCACGGGGAACCGAGCGAACGCCGGCCGCCAGCAGGGGCACGGGACGCAGCCGUCCAAUCACGGACAAGGUCAGCAUGCCCAGGACAAAGGUCACGCCCAGGGUCACCAAGACCACGGUCCCCACGCCCGGAACCAGGGUCAGCAUGCCGGGGACAAAGGUCACGCCCCGGGACUGGGUAACCGGGACCAGCAUGCCCAGGAUCAUGGUCCCCAUAGCCGGGACCAGGGUCCCCAUGCCCACGCCCAGGGACCCCAGGCCCGGCCCCAGCAGCAGAGUCAGGCGGACGGCGAGCCGGGCGCGGGACCCGGGGGACGGGACGUCCUGAGGGACUGCCUCAACGAGCCGCGCUGCGUACCCUAGGCGGCGGUCGGCCCCACCCGACGACGCUCCCUGUACAUACCCAUCCUCUGGUCUUAAAUCCACCCCUAUGAAGAUAUAGCUGAACUGAGGCUCGAGGCUGCCGGGUGCAGGCCUGCGGACCCCCUCCAGCCCCCCCCUUCGCCGGACCGACCCUUAGUUAAAGGUUGUAUCAGUGGUUCAAGGCCGAAACAUGAAUGAUCACAUUCGUCUGAUGUUUCCUCGCGAUCCGCGAGCUGCCCGCCCCAUAAGCAGGCCGUAAAAAAACACGUGUCUCUGUAGGCAGCCUACGCUCCGAGAUCGCGCACAAAAACAAAUAGUACUGCCAGGCACUCAAAACCAAAAUAAAUAGUAUUCCAACCAAUCACCGACAAGGGAAAGGAUUUGUGAGUUUUUUUGCGCUGCGUUCAUGAUAGUUUUUACUUGAUGCACGAAAGGGGAGGGACGAGGGGCGAGCUGGCUCUGUUUGUUUUGGAUCUCGCUUCAAAUACCAACAGAAGACACAUGACCCAACAUCGCUGAUACAACCUUUAAAACAUCCCAUUUUAGCCCCAUACUCUGUUGAGGGGGCGGAGCUCUGCUGCUCAUCAGACCCAGAACAGAACAGAAAAGAGACCCAGAACAGAACAGAACAGAGACACAGAACAGAACAGAACAGAGACACAGAACAGAACAGAACAGAGACACAGAACAGAACAGAACAGAGACACAGAACAGAACAGAACAGAGACACAGAACAGAACAGAAAAGAGACACAGAACAGAACAGAACAGAACAGAACAGAACAGAAAAGAGACACAGAACAGAACAGAACAGAACAGAACAGAACAGAAAAGAGACACAGAACAGAACAGAACAGAGACACAGAACAGAACAGAGACACAGAACAGAACAGAACAGAACAGAACAGAAAAGAGACACAGAACAGAACAGAACAGAACAGAACAGAACAGAACAUAUCUGAACAGAACAGAACAGAACAGAACAGAACAGAACAUAUCUGAACAGAACAGAACAGAACAGAACAGAACAGAACAGAACAGAACAGAACAGAACAGAACAGCGCCAGAGGGGAUCAGAAGAGAGCGUGGCUGCGUCGGGGGCCCCCUGGAGAGGGUCCAUCGGGGCAUCGACGGGGUCCGUCCGGGCCUUUCGUCCCACCUCUCAUGCGUCGGCUGCGUUCACGGCUCGCUUUAUACGUCCAGACCCGUGCGUCUAUGUUGCAAAGGGACAUCUGAAGCUCUGACGGCCUCCUCUCGUGUCUGGGCCCAUCAUGCGGUGCGUUGCCCCAGGUCCUUACCGUAUCGUCCCAGGCUGGAUCGUAACCGCGUGGCUGACAUUGUGAACCGAUGCCUACGCAAUAAAACAACCAUUUUGAAUGUUGUACCUCCACUUUACCAUUCCUACACCAGAGUCACAACCAAGAAGCAUAAACAUUUCUAAUGCAUCAUGGGUAAAAAACCUUUUUUCCCCAUGAUUCCCUUUGUUAAUUUCAAAUGAUUGAUACGAGGCGGUUGAUUGGUCGCCCCUCUUGGACUCCGCCCCAAUCUUUUAACCUCCCCAUGGAACUUCCUCUAGACUAGGAUGUGGUAUUCAAAGGUUCAGGAUGUACCUUCUGGGCUUAUACCUUUAAAGUAUUGGAAAUACUGAGUUGACUAAAGAGUUUAAAAAAACAGACAAACAAUUUCUAAUACCACAGUUUCACUAUUCUGUCCCCGUUCUUUAUCAAAGAAAUCUCGCACCCAUGGGUCUCUCAUGCGCAUGUGUAGAUAACUGUACAAAAUGAUAUAUAUAUAGUGCAUCUGCAAUUCCUCAUUUGCUUCUAUGUUAUAUCGUGAUUGAUUUUCUCAAGACAAUGAGCUUUGAGUGGAACCAUUUCAUGUGAUACACCUGGAAAUAAUUGUCUGAAAGAGAAAAUCCUUCCUCCUCUGCAAAAGUUUCCCCUGAUACAACCACACAAAGAAACUCUGGGCCUAUUCCAUACCCCGAACACCAGGACCUGUUUUAUAAAGUGUAGGUGUGUCCGUACACCAAGACCAUUGUGUAAGGCAAGGAUAACCGGCAAUGCAAUUAAGAAAUUCAGCAGGUGCAUAGAUAACGAUUUUUACAAUUGGGUUGAACAUUGUUGGCAAAACAUUGCUAGAUUGGUACCAGGGUUCGCGAUCAAAAACUCUAGGCAUUUAUUUGUUGCCCUGAUUCCCAUUUGUUGUCAUAUCUACAGCUAAACCAACAACCACACGGCUGCUGUUAGUGUGCACAAUAACCACGGCCAGAAGGAAAAUAAGGAAUAACCACUGGGGUACAGAGGGGUGUCUGAAUAAUUUUUGUUGUAUUUUGUAAAAAGAUCACUGUAAAAAACGAUGUAUAAUACCUCCAGAAUGUUUGGUCUCACUCUUAACGUACGGCUUUGUGAAAUCGCUAAUAAAUUGUAUAUUAAAUCAUUUAAAAUCAUCUUAUAAACCCUUUUGUCUAUGUUAAUCUCGAAUCCUCAUCAAUGAGCAUGUCUCUGUGUUUCAGGUUGUUAAUUAGGACUGUAGCUAUUUUUAUGAUGGACAUUUGACAAACUUUUAAGAUGAGGGAAGAUAAUAUACAUAUUUCUUGAUCAGUAUGGA
ensembl:lncRNA